rnacentral:lncRNA from 1 species
UUUGAGAUCUGAUCUAUGUUGUCGUCCUCCUUUUUCCACUACAUCAUCCUCCAUAGAUCUGAUUGAUGCUUUGAGGUUUUAGUUAAUUGUUUAUUUCUAGUUAAUUAUUUUGCAUGAUUAGUUGAGUAAUUAAUUGUUAUUUGGGUUAUUUUUUAGUUAAUUAUUUAUUUCCAGUUAAUUAUUUAGUUUGAAUGAUGUUUUAGGAUUAAUUAUUAAUGAGAUUAAUUAUUUGGUAUUAUUGAUAUGUAAUAUGGAAAGGGCAAUGGAUGUUUGUAACUCAUGUGUUAUAUUCUGUUUUUUUUUAAGACUGGAUUAUAGUUUUGCUAUUAUUAGUAUCAAAAAAAGAAAUAAAUAAUUGAUAUUUUAAACAAAUAUUUUCAAUUUCAUUAAGAGUUAACUAGAAUUCAGUUUCGUUUUGUUAUUCAAUGUGAGAAUUUUUGCAUAUGGGAAUUAGCCCUAAUUUCUUAGUUUAUUUAUUUAUUUAAUUUUUUGUUUUUUUGUGGACUGUGAACUACAUGCUUGAUUUUCAAAUCAUAGUAAAGUUGUAACUUUUUAUAUGUAGAAAAGGAAUUUUCAAAUCAUAGUAAAUUUAAUAGUUUGUAGUUUCUUUUAUAAUUAUUUCAUAGUUAAGGUUCACUGGUUUGUCUAAUUUUAUGCUGAUUUACUUCCUUUGCAGGAAGAGGUGGGUAAUUUACUUAUCCUUCACUUGCCUUUGGCACAUCUUUGUUUCUUUUUCACAGCUUGUGAGAUGAGGAUCAAAGUUUCAGAUGGUUUCAAUGUACAGUUGAUAACUGUCCUUUUUUGCCUGUUUAACAAUAAAAGGACUAUAAAUGUUAACGAACUGAAGGUUUUCAAGCUCAGUAUUAAUUUUAGUGGAAAUGCAAUGUGAUUGCAAUCUUUACUUUUGUAACUGGUGUGAAGAUUUUUGAAAUUUUGUAAUUUCCGAUUUAAA